CACAGCCAGUGAAGGAAAGGGCUGAAAUCAAACCAGGCCUGUCUGACUGCAAGGCAGGGUCUUACGGCUGCCUCCGGUGGGUAGGUCCGGGACCCAGCUGGUUUCCGUCCUGUGGCUCAGGUGCGAGGAGAGCCUCCCUGGGCCACCUGGGGAAGUCUGACUGACGUGCCAGAUCCUCACAGAACAAAGGAGAGAAGGGGACUCCUGAGAGGCCCCAGCAGCGUUAUCUGGGCAGAGAAAGUGAGUUUGAAGACCUCACACUCCAUCUGGACUUUAUCAGCUCCUUUCCUGGGUAGGAUUACAGUAAACGAUUAUCUACAGAUCUGGAGCCAGCAAGGACUUUGAAGGCCCCAAUUGCCAAGGGGGUGGUGAAAUGGGGGAAGGGCUGGAACCCCCUCUCUCAGCACCAGGGAGCUCCUCCAGGAGCACUUCCUCCCAUGUCUGUGUUCGCCGUUAAGACUGGACACACCAGGAUGAUCUUUCAACUUUGGGUCCAAAGGCCCUCAGUGGAUGUAAAAUAGGUACAUGAGGCCUUGAACUGAACAUUUUUUUCACUUCACCAUAACCUGGAUUUUCCCAGUUUAGGAGCAUCUGUUUGUCUUGAUAACGUUUGGAACAAAGUGAAAAAAACUGGACUUUGAAGAGAACUUCAGGCUCCCAGCAGCCCUGUUUUACAGAUGAAGAAACUGAGGCUCAAAGAGCUGGAGAAAGUUGUUGCCCAGGGUCCUGUGGAGAGAAAACUCAAGCUCCGGCUGUUCCACUACUCUGGGACACCACCCCCAGUGGGAACCCCACUUUUACAAGGAUUCGAAGGUUUACUCCAUUCUUUGCCACACAUAAGGAGGCCGAGGAGGGAAGA
rnacentral:lncRNA from 1 species